rnacentral:rRNA from 1 species
GAUGAACGCUGGCGGCGUGCCUAAUACAUGCGAGUCGAGCGAACAGACGAGGAGCUUGCUCCUCUGACGUUAGCGGCGGACGGGUGAGUAACACGUGGAUAACCUACCUAUAAGACUGGGAUAACUUCGGGAAACCGGAGCUAAUACCGGAUAAUAUAUUGAACCGCAUGGUUCAAUAGUGAAAGACGGUUUUGCUGUCACUUAUAGAUGGAUCCGCGCCGCAUUAGCUAGUUGGUAAGGUAACGGCUUACCAAGGCAACGAUGCGUAGCCGACCUGAGAGGGUGAUCGGCCACACUGGAACUGAGACACGGUCCAGACUCCUACGGGAGGCAGCAGUAGGGAAUCUUCCGCAAUGGGCGAAAGCCUGACGGAGCAACGCCGCGUGAGUGAUGAAGGUCUUCGGAUCGUAAAACUCUGUUAUUAGGGAAGGACAAAUGUGUAAGUAACUAUGCACGUCUUGACGGUACCUAAUCAGAAAGCCACGGCUAACUACGUG